rnacentral:rRNA from 1 species
GAUGAACGCUAGCGGCAGGCCUAACACAUGCAAGUCGAACGGCAGCACGGGGGCAACCCUGGUGGCGAGUGGCGGACGGGUGAGUAACACAUCGGAACGUGCCCUGGAGUGGGGGAUAACGCAGCGAAAGCUACGCUAAUACCGCAUAUUCUGUGAGCAGGAAAGCAGGGGAUCGCAAGACCUUGCGCUUUGGGAGCGGCCGAUGUCGGAUUAGCUAGUUGGUGGGGUAAAGGCUUACCAAGGCGACGAUCCGUAGCGGGUCUGAGAGGAUGAUCCGCCACACUGGGACUGAGACACGGCCCAGACUCCUACGGGAGGCAGCAGUGGGGAAUUUUGGACAAUGGGCGGAAGCCUGAUCCAGCCAUGCCGCGUGAGUGAAGAAGGCCUCGGUUGUAAG